AUUGAACGCUGGCGGCAUGCCUUACACAUGCAAGUCGAACGGUAACAGGUCUUCGGAUGCUGACGAGUGGCGAACGGGUGAGUAAUACAUCGGAACGUGCCCGAUCGUGGGGGAUAACGAAGCGAAAGCUUUGCUAAUACCGCAUAAGAUCUAAGGAUGAAAGCAGGGGACCGCAAGGCCUUGCGCGAACGGAGCGGCCGAUGGCAGAUUAGGUAGUUGGUGGGAUAAAAGCUUACCAAGCCGACGAUCUGUAGCUGGUCUGAGAGGACGACCAGCCACACUGGGACUGAGACACGGCCCAGACUCCUACGGGAGGCAGCAGUGGGGAAUUUUGGACAAUGGGCGAAAGCCUGAUCCAGCCAUGCCGCGUGCAGGAUGAAGGCCUUCGGGUUGUAAACUGCUUUUGUACGGAACGAAAAGACUCUUUCUAAUAAAGAGGGUCCAUGACGGUACCGUAAGAAUAAGCACCGGCUAACUACGUGCCAGCAGCCGCUGUAAUAC
rnacentral:rRNA from 1 species